AAAACCAAGUUGUCUUGGAACAAAGAUGGCAUUCUCCAUGGAGUCAGAUAUCAGGAUGGGAAUCUGGUGAUCCAAUUCCCUGAUUACUGUGGCAUGAUCCUCCACCAUUCACACUCUACCCUGGACUCUGGGAAGGGACACUGCUGCCUUGAAACUCUACAACCCUGAACCUUGAUGCUGGUUGCUGCAGACAAGAACUGCUUCUACCCUGGGUCACUGUCACUGCUAAGUGGAAAGUCAUGAACUUGAUGGUACCAGUCACUCUGGGCCUAAACCGACAUAGCCAGGAAACGGUUCACCCCCAACAAACAGAAUCAUCUAGACCUGUCCAUGAUUUGGAAUCGUGGCCCAACACUUCCUGGCCCCAGAGAGAGAAAAAAGUCUGACCACCCCCUACUCAAAGUGCCAACUCAUUUCCUUCCCAGAAUUAAUCACUUCCCAAAAUGUAUGACUGUGUGAACAUCAAUUCCCUUCAGGGGAAAACCCCACUCCCACCUCUCAGGCUGUCAUCUUACCCUAUGACC
rnacentral:sRNA from 1 species